GAGUCACGUAAUCAGGCUAAGAGGAUUUUCUAAUUGUAAAAAACAAUGAGACAAGGGCAUGAGAAGCAAAAAAAAGCGUCACUGCUUCAAUAACUAGGAACUUUGCAGCCCUGUGGCAUUGGGAACAAAUGGCUUGAGCCUGGCACAGGAUAAAAUCUAACCCAUCUUCCUUGGAUGUAAAGGCUAAUGGCCAUAAAUAUGGAAGAUAUACAGCAUGGGCUGGACUCCAUUGACCAGAUGCAGUGGAGCAGAGUACAUCUGACAUCGACAUGGAAUUCAGUGAUCCUGUGAUACUAAAUAUAGAUCCAGAGACGACGGGUGCAGCUACCAACGACCAGACGGAAAAUCUGCAGGUAGAAGCCAUGGCAUUGAGAACAGCUUGGGAUGCUGUAAAUCUGCUUCCAGAUGGCAGCCGGCACAGGGAUCCAGAAAGUGUGAAGUGGCUGGAGAUUGGGGCAGUGAAUAUAGCUUCCAUGACCCUGGGCACAGUUGGCAUAAAUGUCUUUCCAAUGUUUUCUGCUGGCACAGCAGACAUGGAUCCAACAAUAUCUGGAAUAGACACUUUU